rnacentral:lncRNA from 1 species
AUUUUCUUACCCCAAAUAUAUCAAGUUGUGUUGUGCAAAAAAAAGCCUUUUGUAAUCAAUAACUCUUCUCUGUACAGAGUGGGCAGAGUGGAUCAUACAGUGGUGGCCGCCCCUAUGGACAGGGUGGACAGAGUGGAUCAUAUGGUGGUGGCAGCCAGUAUGGGCAGGGUGGAUCAUAUGGAAGCAGCAACAACUAUGGACAGGGUUCUCAGUACAGUGGAGGUUACAGCAGUAACCGUUGUGAUGAAGUAAGUGAUCUGUAAUGUUCUUAAUUCCAUGUCAAGGAUAAUUUCCACACUGAGGCAGAACAAGGCUCAGGAUAAUCAGCAGCCAUACUUGACAGGUGUGCAAAAUGCUGAAUCAUGCAGUCUGGGAUGAUGCAAUGUCCACACUGAUUGGCUGUAUGUAAAUGUGCAUGUGUAUAACUGUGGGGACCUGUGGAGAAGAUGUAUGGAU